UACGAAGGGUGCAAGCGUUAAUCGGAAUUACUGGGCGUAAAGCGCGCGUAGGUGGUUCGUUAAGUUAGGAGUGAAAGCCCCGGGCUCAACCUGGGAAUUGCUUCUAAAACUGGCGAGCUAGAGUAUGGUAGAGGGUGGUGGAAUUUCCUGUGUAGCGGUGAAAUGCGUAGAUAUAGGAAGGAACAUCAGUGGCGAAGGCGACCACCUGGACUGAUACUGACACUGAGGUGCGAAAGCGUGGGGAGCAAACAGGAUUAGAUACCCGCGUAGU
rnacentral:rRNA from 1 species